UACGUAGGGUGCGAGCGUUAAUCGGAAUUACUGGGCGUAAAGCGUGCGCAGGCGGUUCGUUGUGUCGGCGGUGAAAGCCCUGGGCUCAACCUGGGAACUGCAGUGGAUACUGGCGAGCUAGAGUACGGUAGAGGAAGGUGGAAUUCCCGGUGUAGCGGUGAAAUGCGUAGAUAUCGAGAGGAACACCUGCGGCGAAGGCGGGUUGCUGGGCUGACACUGACGCUGAGGCGCGAAAGCUAGGGGAGCGAACGGG
rnacentral:rRNA from 1 species